rfam:Schistosoma margrebowiei strain Zambia genome assembly, scaffold: SMRZ_scaffold0001297
GUCCAGUUGACGAGUCCCAAAUAGAACGAAAAACAAGUCCUGGAU